UUCUGGCUCAGGAUGAACGCUGGCGGCGUGCCUAACACAUGCAAGUCGAACGAGCGAGAGAUGAAACCUAGUGAUUCUCGAGCGAGUGGCGGACGGGUGAGUAACGCGUGGGCAACCUGCCUUACAGAGGGGGAUAACAGUUUGAAAAGACUGCUAAUACCGCAUAAGCACACAGUACCGCAUGGUACAGGGUGAAAAGAUUUAUCACUGUAAGAUGGACCCGCGUCUGAUUAGCCAGUUGGCAGGGUAACGGCCUACCAAAGCGACGAUCAGUAGCCGACCUGAGAGGGUGAUCGGCCACAUUGGGACUGAGACACGGCCCAAACUCCUACGGGAGGCAGCAGUGGGGGAUAUUGCACAAUGGAGGAAACUCUGAUGCAGCGAACCGCCGCGUGAGUGAAGAAGUAUUUCGGUAUGUAAAGCUCUAUCAGCAGGGAAGAUAAUGACAGUACCUGACCAAGAAGCCCCGGCUAACUACGUGCCAGCAGCGGC
rnacentral:rRNA from 1 species